rnacentral:rRNA from 1 species
GACGAACCGUGCGAACGUUGUUCGGAAUCACUGGGCUUAAAGGGCGCGUAGGCGGGCCGGAUAGUCUGCGGUGAAAGCCCCCAGCUUAACUGGGGAAGUGCCGUGGAUACUGCCGGCCUGGAGGAGGGUAGGGGCAUCUGGAACGCUGGGUGGAGCGGUGAAAUGCGUUGAUAUCGGAAGGAACGUCGGCGGCGAAAGCGGAUCACUGGUUGGUUUCUGACGCUGAGGUGCGAAAGCCAGGGGAGCAAACGGG